UAGGGAAUCUUCGGCAAUGGGGGGAACCCUGACCGAGCAACGCCGCGUGAGUGAAGAAGGUUUUCGGAUCGUAAAGCUCUGUUGUUAAGGAAGAACGAGUGUGAGAAUGGAAAGUUCAUACUGUGACGGUACUUAACCAGAAAGGGACGGCUAACUACGUGCCAGCAGCCGCGGUAAUACGUAGGUCCCGAGCGUUGUCCGGAUUUAUUGGGCGUAAAGCGAGCGCAGGCGGUUAGAUAAGUCUGAAGUUAAAGGCAGUGGCUCAACCAUUGUAGGCUUUGGAAACUGUUUAACUUGAGUGCAGAAGGGGAGAGUGGAAUUCCAUGUGUAGCGGUGAAAUGCGUAGAUAUAUGGAGGAACACCGGUGGCGAAAGCGGCUCUCUGGUCUGUAACUGACGCUGAGGCUCGAAAGCGUGGGGAGCGAACAGGAUUAGAUACCCUGGUAGUCCACGCCGUAACGAUGAGUGCUAGGUGUUAGGUCCUUUCCGGGACUUAGUGCCGCAGCUAACGCAUUAAGCACUCCGCCUGGGGAGUACGACCGCAAGGUG
rnacentral:rRNA from 1 species